CCCUCAAAACUCAACAUUUCUUUCCGAGUCCCUCACAGCACGAAUAAAAUGCACGGAUACCCCUCCACAUGCGAUCUCACGCGAAACGGUACAUAAAAUAUCGCGACUUUCGCGAAAAUACCGUUUUGCCCUCACUGACCUCUCCUCGAUCAACGCGCAAUCUCCGCAGAUCCGUCCGUCAGAUUUGCGAACGGAUCGCACUAGUGCUAUCAGCACGAUGGAGACAACAAAGCUACGAUUUCGUUUCACCUCGAUCGACCACGGAUUCACGACAAAGUCCAACCUUUCUCGCCAACAGAGGAAACAACACGAAAAUCCAUAUAAAACAUGUAUUUUUGGAUUUUCUCGAAAUCCGU
rnacentral:lncRNA from 1 species